UACGGAGGGGGCUAGCGUUGUUCGGAAUUACUGGGCGUAAAGCGCGCGUAGGCGGACCUGCAAGUCGGGGGUGAAAGCCCGAGGCUCAACCUCGGAACUGCAUCCGAUACUGGAUGGCUUGAAUCCGGGAGAGGGAUGCAGAAUUCCAGGUGUAGCGGUGAAAUGCGUAGAUAUCUGGAGGAAUACCGGUGGCGAAGGCGGCAUCCUGGACCGGCAUUGACGCUGAUGAGCGAAAGCUAGGGGAGCAAACGGG
rnacentral:rRNA from 1 species